AUUUCUUAAGGGUAGGUUUUGAAUUUAGAAAUUCUGAUUUGAUGCCCUAAAAAGAGUGUUAUAAAUACACAUUAUAGGUUAAAGGAUAAGAGAGAACAGACACGACAGAAGGCAACACAAAAAAUCUCACUCAAAAAAUUAUUUCAGAAUUUGAAGCUUCUUCUUUAGUUUUCAAGUUUUCUUCUGGGAUUUCGAAGAGGAAUGGCCUUUUGAAACUGAAGUUUUAGGUUUUGCUGCCAAGUCUACACUUCAUUUCAGACUUUCAUUUUGGUUUAUUUAACUGACUUAGUCACAUUUAGGGAUGCGCAUUAUCAUAAAAUUAUCUUCUGGAGAUUCUCAUGUUUAUUCAAGUGCUGAAAGUGGCUUGUCUUUGGGCCGUUCCCCAUUUUGGUCGUCUCUCCUUAGUAUAUGAGUACAACAUUAUAGCUUUGCAAUAUUUUUUAUGUAAUGAGUUAGUUUGAUAUCAAUAGUUGAAAGGCAAAAGAAGAAAGAAAAGACGUGUACAUCUUCAUAACUGUUUGUCAUUUUUUGUAAUAUAUUUGUAUUACUAAUAUCCACAACUAGUUUUGUCUCA